rnacentral:lncRNA from 1 species
GACCUGAUCUAAUUAUCUAUUGGAAUAGGUCCAAGUUGCUCAUACAUAAAAAUAAAGUAGGAUCAGGGUUAAACAUAUUUGGUCUGACUCAAUUUGGUUAGUAUCCUUACAAUUAGGGAUGGUAAUUUUUUUCAAUCCGGUAGGUACCUGGCUCGACCUGAUCCGAAUGGGAUGGAUUUUAUCUGACCUAAUUAAAAUGCAAGA